UGGCGGGCAGUCCGGGUGGUUCGGCGUCACCUGUAACCCGAAAUCGUCGAAAGGCGGGGGGCGAAGCUGACGGAAGACCUUAGGCGCUGCAUGAUCAGUCCAGCCGCUGACAAUGAUUCUCCGUCCUGUAGGGAUAGCAUCGGUCCGCGGGCCUUCCUGAAGGAAGCCUCGCGUCCCAUAAUUGCAGGCAACGGUUCAGGCCCGGAAGGGAGCAGACCUACUGCGGGUCUCUAUCGCUUACAGGUUUAAGGGGAUGAGGAUGCGUCAGGAUAAACUGGCGCGUAGCGUUAAGGGCAACCGCCAGCGUGCCCGCCA
rnacentral:SRP_RNA from 1 species